ACAAUUGAAACGCCGCUUUCAUGUCCUUCAUUCUGAAAUAAGACUGGCACCAUCUAAGGUUUGUCGAGUUGUAUGUGCUUGUGUUGCACUUUUCAACAUAGCGAUCUUGUUGAAUGAGCCUGAACUUGAUGACUGGAACCAGGAUGAAGCUGUAGACCUGGAAAAUGAAGACAUAGCCGAUGCAGAAAGAGAUGGCAGCACUGUUCGAAAUUUUAUUGUGCAUCAAUAUUUUGCAUAAUACUCAGAAAUGAAAUAAAUAGAAACUCAGCUGUCAAAUAAUAAAUACGCUGUUAUGAACUUAA